AUUGAACGCUGGCGGCAGGCCUAACACAUGCAAGUCGAACGAGUGGCGGACGGGUGAGUAAUGUCUGGGAAACUGCCUGAUGGAGGGGGAUAACUACUGGAAACGGUAGCUAAUACCGCCUACCAUCGGAUGUGCCCAGAUGGGAUAAGCGAGUAGGUGGGGUAAAGGCUCACCUAGGCGACGAUCCCUAGCUGGUCUGAGAGGAUGACCGGCCACAUGGGAACUGAGACACGGUCCAGAUGCCGACGGGAGGCAGAAGUGGGGAAGAUUGCACAAUGGGCGCAAGCCGGAUGUAGACAUGCCGCGGGUAUGAAGAAGGCUUUCGGGUGGUAAAGUACUGUCAGCGGGGAGGCGUUACCCGCAUAAGAAGCACCGGCUAACUACGUGCCAGCAGCCGCGGUAAUAC
rnacentral:rRNA from 1 species